rnacentral:rRNA from 1 species
CUCAUAGCGUAUAUUUAAGUUGUUGCAGUUAAAAAGCUCGUAGUCGGAUUUUGGCUGAGAACGGUCGGUCCGCCGUUAGGUGUGCACUGACUGGUCUCAGCUUCCUGGUGAGGAGGUGUGCUUCAUCGCCACUUAGUCACCGUGGUUACUUUGAAAAAAUUAGAGUGUUCAAAGCGGGCUUACGCUUGAAUAUAUUAGCAUGGAAUAACACCAUAGGACUCCUGUCCUAUUUCGUUGGUCUCGGGACGGGAGUAAUGAUUAAGAGGAACAGUUGGGGGCAUUCGUAUUUCAUUGUCAGAGGUGAAAUUCUUGGAUUUAUGAAAGACGAACUUCUGCGAAAGCAUUUGCCAAGGAUGUUUUCAUUGAUCAAGAACGAAAGUUGGGGGCUCGAAGAUGAUUAGAUACCAUCCUAGUCUCAACCAUAAACGAUGCCGACUAGGGAUUGGCGGAUGUUAAUUGAUGACUUCGCCAGCACCUUAUGAGAA